GACGAACGCUGGCGGCGUGCUUAACACAUGCAAGUCGAGCGGUAAGGCCCUUUCGGGGGUACACGAGCGGCGAACGGGUGAGUAACACGUGGGUGACCUGCCCUCAGCUCUGGGAUAAGCCUGGGAAACCGGGUCUAAUACCGGAUAUGACUCCAUGACGCAUGUUGGUGGGGUGGAAAGCCUUGUGCGGCUGAGGAUGGGCCCGCGGCCUAUCAGCUUGGUUGGUGGGGUGANGGCCUACCAAGGCGACGACGGGUAGCCGGCCUGAGAGGGCGACCGGCCACAC
rnacentral:rRNA from 1 species